rnacentral:rRNA from 1 species
UACGGAGGGGGCUAGCGUUGUUCGGAAUUACUGGGCGUAAAGCGCACGUAGGCGGCUUUGUAAGUUAGAGGUGAAAGCCCGGGGCUCAACUCCGGAACUACCUUUAAGACUGCAUCGCUAGAAUUGUGGAGAGGUGAGUGGAAUUCCGAGUGUAGAGGUGAAAUUCGUAGAUAUUCGGAAGAACACCAGUGGCGAAGGCGGCUCACUGGACUGGUAUUGACGCUGAGGUGCGAAAGCGUGGGGAGCAAACAGG